AGCAGCCGCGGUAAUUCCAGCUCCAAUAGCGUAUAUUAAAGUUGUUGCAGUUAAAAAGCUCGUAGUUGAACUUCGGGGUCUACCCAUUGGUCAGGCUUAAUUGUCUGCACUGGUGAGAUGGAUCUCUACCUUCUGAGGAACUUUCAUGCCAUUUAUUUAGUGUGAUGGGAAAUCAGGACUGUUACUUUGAAAAAAUUAGAGUGUUUAAAGCAGACUAUCGUCUGAAUACAUUAGCAUGGAAUAAUGAAAUAGGACGGACUGAUUCUAUUUCGUUGGUUUCUAGGAUCACCGUAAUGAUUAAUAGGGAUAGUUGGGGGCAUUAGUAUUCAAUUGUCAGAGGUGAAAUUCUUGGAUUUAUUGAAGACUAACUACUGCGAAAGCAUUUGCCAAGGAUGUUUUCAUUAAUCAAGAACGAAAGUUAGGGGAUCGAAGACGAUCAGAUACCGUCGUAGUCUUAACCAUAAACUAUGCCGACUAGGGAUCGGACGAAGUUAAUUUUAUAAUGACGCGUUCGGCACCUUACG
rnacentral:rRNA from 1 species